AUGUGCGACUACUUCCUCCAGAGGAUGGAGGGCGACCAGGCCGGCGGCGGGGACCUCACAGACAUCGUGCGGGCGGGCGGCGCCAUGCCGGGCAAUAACGACGGCGACGGCACCAACCUCCCGUCCACGGCCGCCGAGUGGCAGCUGCAGCCCGCGGACCAGCCGAUGCUGUUCCCGCCUCCUCCGCCGCCGUCGGCGUCACCGGGGACCGGCGCCGACGUCUUCGGCGACCCUUUCGCGGGGCUCGGGGACCCGUUCAGCAGCGACUAUUCGUCGGGCGCCCCCGAAUUCCUGGAUGGCAUGCCAGACGCCAUGGCCAAAAUCGGCUUCGAAGCGGGCCCCGGCGGCGGCGUCAACGGCUGCGGAGGAGGCGGAGGCGGAGGCGGUGGCCAGAUGUUCGACAUGAGCAGGAAGCCGCUCUUGCCGAGGGGGAUGCAGAUGAUGCCGGCGGGAAUCGGUGGUGGGAUGGGGCCGAGGCUGAUGCAGUCGUCGCUGUCGCCCAUAGCGAUACGCCCGUACCCGGCCAUGACCGCGGGCGACAUGGUGAAGCUCGGCAUCACGCCCGGGCAGGCGGCCGGGUGCGCCAUCGACGCCGCUAUCGGCGGCAUGCAGAUGUCGUCGUCGCCGCGCAACAACAACAGCGGGAUCAAGCGCAGAAAGAACCAGGCAAGGAAGGUGGUGUGCAUUCCGGCACCGACAACGGCGGGUUCAAGACCAACCGGUGAGGUGGUUCCUUCUGAUCUCUGGGCAUGGAGGAAGUACGGCCAGAAGCCUAUCAAGGGCUCUCCUCACCCAAGAGGGUACUACAGAUGCAGCAGCUCGAAAGGGUGUUCAGCACGAAAGCAGGUGGAGCGCAGCAGGACUGACCCCAACAUGCUCGUCAUCACCUACACCUCCGAGCACAACCACCCAUGGCCGACCCAGCGCAACGCGCUCGCCGGCUCCACCCGGUCUCACCACGGCAAGAACGGCGGUGGGGGCGGCAGCGGCUCAGGCUCCAAAAGCUCGCACAACGAAAAGCAGACACAGAAUCAAAACGUCAAGGAGGAGAGAAAGGAUCACCGGGCCGCAGCGACAACGACGGCGACGACGACCACCAGCACAGUCACUACCACGGCCAGCACUUCUCCCGUGGUCGUGAAGGAGGAGACGUUGGCAGGAUCAUCGUCGGAAGCGCAGGCGAGAGACCAGAGAGCCAUGGACACUGUGACAGGAGUACUGCAGCAGGUCGACCACCGUGAGCUCAUGGACCAGGUGUUCAGCGAGAGCUACAGGCCUAUGAUACCGGGGUCCGGCCAGCACCAUGAGGACUUCUUUGCUGACUUCGCCGACCUCGCCGAGCUGGAGUCAGACCCCAUGAGCCUCAUCUUCUCCAAGGAGUACAUGGAAGCCAGGCCAAGCGGUGGUGCCAGCGAUCAUGGUGGCCAGGAGAAGGCGGUGGCCAAGGAGCUGGAUCCGUUCGACAUGCUAGAUUGGUCCACUACUUCUAGCACCGCAGGGAGCACGUUUGAGCAAGGAAAGAGAGGCUAA
rnacentral:rRNA from 1 species